rnacentral:rRNA from 1 species
UACGUAGGUGGCAAGCGUUAUCCGGAUUUACUGGGUGUAAAGGGAGCGUAGACGGCCAUUCAAGCCAGAUGUGAAAGCCCGGGGCUCAACCCCGGGACUGCAUUUGGAACUGUAUGGCUGGAGUGUCGGAGAGGCAGGCGGAAUUCCUAGUGUAGCGGUGAAAUGCGUAGAUAUUAGGAGGAACACCAGUGGCGAAGGCGGCCUGCUGGACGAUGACUGACGUUGAGGCUCGAAAGCGUGGGGAGCAAACAGG